GACGAACGCUGGCGGCGUGCUUAACACAUGCAAGUCGAACGAAAAGAGGGGAAGAGCUUGCUCUUUUCAGAAUUGAGUGGCAAACGGGUGAGUAACACGUAAACAACCUGCCUUCAGGAUGGGGACAACAGACGGAAACGACUGCUAAUACCGCAUGAUGCUUUUGAGGGACAUCCCUUAAAAGCCAAAGCUUUAUGUGCUGGAAGAUGGCCUCGCGUCUGAUUAGCUAGUUGGUGAGGUAACGGCUCACCAAGGCGACGAUCAGUAGCCGGUCCUGAGAGGAUGAACGGCACAUUGGGACUGAGAUACGGCCCAGACUCCUACGGGAGGCAGCAGUGGGGAAUAUGGGCAAUGGGCGAAAGCCUGACCCAGCAACGCCG
rnacentral:rRNA from 1 species